rnacentral:rRNA from 1 species
GACGGAGGGGGCUAGCGUUGUUCGGAAUUACUGGGCGUAAAGAGUGCGUAGGUGGUUUAGUAAGUUGGAAGUGAAAGCCCGAGGCUUAACCUCGGAAUAGCUUUCAAAACUACUAAUCUAGAGUGUAGUAGGGGAUGAUGGAAUUCCUAGUGUAGAGGUGAAAUUCUUAGAUAUUAGGAGGAACACCGGUGGCGAAGGCGGUCAUCUGGGCUACAACUGACACUGAUGCACGAAAGCGUGGGGAGCAAACAGG